CAGGAGGACUCUGAGACUCUUAUUAAGCCUAGGAUACACUUAGAAUGGCCAUCUUAAGUGCAUCUAGAAGCCACAGAGUUGUACAUGUGAAACAUUACGACAGAGUACGUGGAAGCUGUAGCUGAUGUUUAAGUGAGAACCCCAGAUCAGCACUGGCUUUAGGUGGCAUGAGGAUCUAGCUUGGUGUUGUGUGACACCCACAAAUAGCAUUAAUUCUGGAUUUUGGAAGUGGAAUUGUUGCCCUUCUAGGAUUGGCAGGCUCAUUGCACCAGGGAACCAAAUCACUGAUACUGUAAUGUGUAGUGGGGUGAGUUAAUCCCAUAAAGUUUUUUAAACAGUUCCUGAUGUUUAUCCUGUAGAAGCAGAAUAACCAGUGCCAGAGAUGUUUGGGGACAAAGUCUGCUCUGUUACAUUGGUGUGAAUCUGGAAAAACGUUGACUUCUAUGUAGAUACUGAAGAUAGACACUGUGUAACUGAGAGCAGAAGAUAUCCCAUAAUGUACAAAUCAGAAGAAUAUAAAAAUCCUCAAUGCAAAAUUCUGCUACUACAAAAAAGUGUCUGGCUUCCACCCUCAAGUC